rnacentral:rRNA from 1 species
UACAGAGGUCCCAAGCGUUGUUCGGAUUCAUUGGGCGUAAAGGGUGCGUAGGCGGGCUGUCAAGUCUGGGGUGAAAUCCCGCGGCUCAACCGUGGAACUGCCUCAGAUACUGAUGGCCUCGAGGGGGGUAGGGGCAUGCGGAACUGUAGGUGGAGCGGUGAAAUGCGUUGAUAUCUACAGGAACUCCGGUGGCGAAAGCGGCGUGCUGGACCCCUUCUGACGCUGAGGCACGAAAGCUAGGGGAGCAAACGGG